UACGUAGGGUGCGAGCGUUACUCGGAAUUACUGGGCGUAAAGCGUGCGUAGGUGGUUUGUUAAGUCUGCUGUGAAAGCCCCGGGCUCAACCUGGGAAUGGCAGGGGAUACUGGCAAGCUAGAGUGCGGUAGAGGGUAGUGGAAUUCCCGGUGUAGCGGUGAAAUGCGUAGAGAUCGGGAGGAACACCAGUGGCGAAGGCGGCUCCCUGGACCAGCACUGACACUGAGGCGCGAAAGCGUGGGGAGCAAACAGG
rnacentral:rRNA from 1 species